rnacentral:misc_RNA from 1 species
CAUUCAAAUUUCUUUAUUAAUUUUUAAUAAAUAAUUUAUAUUAAAUAUAAAAAUAUAUUUAUGAAAAAAAAAGACGACAAGACCCUAUUAAAUUUUACUUAUAGUUUAGCUGGGGAAGCUUUUCAAUUAAAAUUUUUUAAAAUCUUAAAAUAAAUAUCUAAUUUAAAUUAAAAUUUAAAUAAAUUACUAUAGGGAUAACAGCAUUAUAUUUUUUAAAAGUUCAUAUUAAAAAAAAUGAUUGUGACCUCGAUGUUGAAUUAUAUUUUCUAUAUUUAAUGCAAUAAUUAUAAAAGUAGAUCUGUUCGAUCUUUAAAAUAUUACAUGAUUUGAGUUCAAACCGGUGUAAACCAGGUUGGUUUCUAUCUUUUUAUAUAUUUUUCCAGUACGAAAGGACAAAAAAAUUUUUAUUUUAAUAAAUUAGCAAAUAUAAUGCAUUAGAUUUAGAAUCUAAAUAUAUUUAAAUU